GCCAGCGUGGUUUCGUGGUUUGAGCAUUGGACUACAACUCUGGAGAUCAGGGUUCAAAUCCCCGUUCCGUCA